AUGGAUUGUAACCUAAAGAUUGUCUUCUGGAACGUGCGCGGAUUGAAUUCACGAGCUAGGCGCACGGCGGUUCGCUCUUUGAUUUCUUUCGUUCCCCCUUCGAUCGUCUGUUUGAGAGAGACCAAGCUCGCGGUUGUCGACGCGUCCAUCGUCUCCGAUACACUCGGGCCUCUCUUUGACUGUUUCUUCUUCCUCUCCACGUUCGGGACACGCGGCGGUGAUGAGGACAUAAACCUGGGGUAG
rnacentral:rRNA from 1 species